rnacentral:rRNA from 1 species
UACGUAGGGGGCAAGCGUUGUCCGGAUUUAUUGGGCGUAAAAGGCUUGUAGGUGGCCACGCCAAGUCGGAUGUGAAAUCUCCCGGCUCAACUGGGAGGGGUCAUUCGAUACUGGCGGGCUCGAGGCCGGUAGGGGGAAGUGGAAUUCCCGGUGUAGUGGUGGAAUGCGUAGAUAUCGAGAGGAACACCAGUGGCGAAGGCGAGUCCCUGGACAACACCGUGACACUGAGGCACGAAAGCUAGGG